rfam:Candidatus Thrbacteria bacterium RIFCSPLOWO2_02_FTLL_51_9 rifcsplowo2_02_scaffold_15422, whole genome shotgun sequence.
GCGGGUAUCGUAUAAUGGUAAUAUCAUUGGUUUCCAACCAAUUGACAGGGGUUCGAUUCCCCUUACCCGCU